GACGAAGGGGGCUAGCGUUGCUCGGAAUCACUGGGCGUAAAGGGUGCGUAGGCGGGUCUUUAAGUCAGAGGUGAAAUCCUGGAGCUCAACUCCAGAACUGCCUUUGAUACUGAGGAUCUUGAGUUCGGGAGAGGUGAGUGGAACUGCGAGUGUAGAGGUGAAAUUCGUAGAUAUUCGCAAGAACACCAGUGGCGAAGGCGGCUCACUGGCCCGAUACUGACGCUGAGGCACGAAAGCGUGGGGAGCAAACAGG
rnacentral:rRNA from 1 species